rnacentral:rRNA from 1 species
CAGUCGCCACGGUAAUACGAAGGGGGCUAGCGUUGUUCGGAUUUACUGGGCGUAAAGGGCGCGUAGGCGGACUGAUAAGUCAGGGGUGAAAUCCCAAGGCUCAACCUUGGAACUGCCUUUGAUACUGUUUGUCUUGAGUUCGAGAGAGGUAAGUGGAGCUGCGAGUGUAGAGGUGAAAUUCGUAGAUAUUCGCAAGAACACCAGUGGCGAAGGCGGCUUACUGGCUCGAUACUGACGCUGAGGCGCGAAAGCGUGGGGAGCAAACAGGAUUAGAUACCCCUGUAGUCCCUGUCUCUUAUAC